rnacentral:miRNA from 1 species
AGAGACAGCUUUCUAUCUUCUUUUCCAAUCUGUGUUCCUUUUACUUCUUUUUCUUGCCUGAUUAUAUUGACUAGAAUUUCUAGUACGAUGUGGACUAGGAGGAGUGACAGCAAAU